CAUCGCUUCAGGGCGGGGUGUAAUUCCCCACCGGUGGUAAGUUAGGCAUUGUAAUCAAAUGACCUAAUCAGCCCACGAGCCUGUAUAUAUUUAUAUGUACUCGCAGAUUUGGUGAGAAACCAAAGCCGACGGUAUAGUCCGGAUGAAAGAAGACGAAA
rnacentral:ncRNA from 2 species